AUGGCCUUGUGCUGGUUGUUUUCCCAGUCCCCCUGGGGUCCCUGCCAGAAGUGGUCUGGAGGUUGUCUGGGAGGGUGGGAGGGGGCUGCAUGCUGGGAAGCAUCAGCCCAGCGCUGCGGGGCUGUUGUAAUGAGAGUAAUUCCUUUGCAGGAAUCCUGUCCCUCUGAGGAGAGAAGUCCCGAGAGAACUCCCAGCUCUCUGUCUGAGAGCGACUCGGGGCAGUCCAGCCCUGACCUCAUGGAGAGGAUGAUGGGGGAGUGGGACGAGGACGGAGAAGAGCCACCCAGAACUCAGCAGGACAGCCCUGUGCCCCCUAAGCGGAGUCUUUCUCCACGGACACAUGGGACCCUAAGGGAGGUGGUGACAUGCAUCGUGGAGCAGGUGGCCCGUAAACAAAGGGGAGAGAGAGAUGCGGAGAGGGAUCUGCAGGAGCAGCUCAAGUGUGAGCUGGCAGUGCUGCGGUGGAGUCGGUCGGCGAAAGAGGAACAGAGCUACCACCAGCUUUGGCAAGUGGGUCACCAGCCUGCACCCCCUGCUGGGCCAAGGCAGAGAGAGUCAAGACGGGUAAGUGCCCUGGGCUCCUGUCCACAAAACAGUAUUCAGGAAUGGGAUUGGACACAGGGGUGGGACUGCAUCACAGGGACCGUGGGCCUGCUGUCUCCAGCCAGCGUCAGAUCCCCUCAUUUCUGUCCUGAACAGUCUUGCAGUGUUGCUCUGCAUGUCUCUGCGUAUGCAGAACUACAGAGGUUUGUGUUGAUCUCCGCAGGUGCGAAGAGUAGUGCCAAUGCCUGUCAGCAAGGGACCGGAGAGGCCGUCCGGCACACAGAAGGGUCCAGAUGGAGACAUCCAGCAAGGGCCCUCCCUGCAGCACGAAUGGGACCAGGGUUGCCCAUCCAGGCUAUUAACGCCAACACCUCCUUCCAUUCAAUAAAGCCCUGUCUCCAAAGUUCUCUGGGUCUUUCCUUGGUGGCCGUCCAUUCUGCACUUUGCAGCGGAUGAGCUUUCAUGGAGCAGGGAAAGGCCAGCACGGGAGGGAGGGCUUGACUGUCAGUCCGGCUCCCAGGGCAGCUCUCUCCCAAGGCCAAAGCUGUACCUGCUCGCCUGCAGCUCUGCUGCUGGUAGCAAGCACACUUCUUGCUGCUGGCGUGUCCUCGGCUGCAUGACCUGCUUUGGCUGCACAUCCCUGAUUAGGAAGGGACUGUGCAGGGAAAAGGAAGAGGAAGGGAAAGGGGAAGGGAAAUGGGAAUGGGAGCGGGAAGGGGAAGGGAAACAGGAACAGGAAGAGGAAGGGGAACAGGAAUGGGAAUGGGAACGGGAACGGGAAUGGGGAGAGAAAUGGGAAGGGGAACAGGAAGGGGAAGGGAAAUGGGAAGGGGAAGGGGAACAAGAAGGGGAAGGGAAAUUGGAAGGGAAAGGGGAAGGAAAAG
ensembl:lncRNA